AGGAAUAUUGGUCAAUGGGCGAGAGCCUGAACCAGCCAAGUAGCGUGCAGGAUGACGGCCCUAUGGGUUGUAAACUGCUUUUAUAAGGGAAUAAAGUUAGUCUCGUGAGACUUUUUGCAUGUACCUUAUGAAUAAGGACCGGCUAAUUCCGUGCCAGCAGCCGCGGUAAUACGGAAGGUCCGGGCGUUAUCCGGAUUUAUUGGGUUUAAAGGGAGCGUAGGCCGGAGAUUAAGCGUGUUGUGAAAUGUAGACGCUCAACGUCUGCACUGCAGCGCGAACUGGUUUCCUUGAGUACGCACAAAGUGGGCGGAAUUCGUGGUGUAGCGGUGAAAUGCUUAGAUAUCACGAAGAACUCCGAUUGCGAAGGCAGCUCACUGGAGCGCAACUGACGCUGAAGCUCGAAAGUGCGGGUAUCGAACAGGAUUAGAUACCCUGGUAGUCCGCACGGUAAACGAUGGAUGCCCGCUGUUGGUCUGAACAGGUCAGCGGCCAAGCGAAAGCAUUAAGCAUCCCACCUGGGGAGUACGCCGGCAACGGUGAAACUCAAAGGAAUUGACGGGGGCCCGCACAAGCGGAGGAACAUGUGGUUUAAUUCGAUGAUACGCGAGGAACCUUACCCGGGCUUGAAUUGCAGAGGAAGGAUUUGGAGACAAUGACGCCCUUCGGGGUCUCUGUGAAGGUGCUGCAUGGUUGUCGUCAGCUCGUGCCGUGAGGUGUCGGCUUAAGUGCCAUAACGAGCGCAACCCCUCUCCUUAGUUGCCAUCAGGUCAAGCUGGGCACUCUGGGGACACUGCCACCGUAAGGUGUGAGGAAGGUGGGGAUGACGUCAAAUCAGCACGGCCCUUACGUCCGGGGCUACACACGUGUUACAAUGGCAGGUACAGAGAGACGGUCCCUUGCAAAAUGGAUCAAAUCCUUAAAGCCUGUCUCAGUUCGGACUGGGGUCUGCAACCCGACCCCACGAAGCUGGAUUCGCUAGUAAUCGCGCAUCAGCCAUGGCGCGGUGAAUACGUUCCCG
rnacentral:rRNA from 1 species